GACGAACGCUGGCGGCGCGCUUAACACAUGCAAGUCGAACGGAAAGGCCUGCUUUCCCUUGUGGAUUGCGGGUACUCGAGUGGCGAACGGGUGAGUAACACGUGAGUGAUCUGCCCCCAACUUGGGUAUAAGCCUGGGAAACUGGGUCUAAUUCCCGAUAGGACUGCAGGGUGGUGCCUGUGGUGGAAAACGAUUUUCUAGUGGUUGGGGAUGAGCUCGCGGCCUAUCAGCUUGUUGGUGGGGUAAUGGCCUACCAAGGCGGCGACGGGUAGCCGGCCUGGGAGGGUGGACGGCCACAUUGGGACUGAGAUACGGCCCAGACUCCUACGGGAGGCAGCAGUGGGGAAUAUUGCACAAUGGGCGGAAGCCUGAUGCAGCGACGCCGCGUGGGGGAUGACGGCCUUCGGGUUGUAAACUCCUUUCGACCGCGAGGAAGCCACCUGGUUGGAAGGGUGGUGACGGUAGUGGUAGAAGAGGCACCGGCUAACUACGUG
rnacentral:rRNA from 1 species